AGCGAGGUGGGGAAGCCAGCCUUAGGGGCUAUGUCAUCCCGGCGGGCUCAUAACCCGCAGACCGGUGGUUCAAAUCCACCCCUCGCUACCA
rnacentral:tRNA from 1 species